rnacentral:rRNA from 1 species
GAGUUUGAUCUUGGCUCAGAUUGAACGCUGGCGGCAUGCCUUACACAUGCAAGUCGAACGAGACCUUCGGGUCUAGUGGCGCACGGGUGCGUAACGCGUGGGAAUCUGCCCUUCGGUUCGGAAUAACUCAGGGAAACUUGAGCUAAUACCGGAUAAUGACGUAAGUCCAAAGAUUUAUCGCCGAAGGAUGAGCCCGCGUAGGAUUAGCUUGUUGGUGGGGUAAUGGCCUACCAAGGCGACGAUCCUUAGCUGGUCUGAGAGGAUGAUCAGCCACACUGGGACUGAGACACGGCCCAGACUCCUACGGGAGGCAGCAGUGGGGAAUAUUGGGCAAUGGGCGAAAGCCUGAUCCAGCAAUGCCGCGUGAGUGAUGAAGGCCUUAGGGUUGUAAAGCUCUUUUAACCCGGGAUGAUAAUGACAGUACCGGAGAAUAAGCUCCGGCUAACUCCGUGCCAGCCGCCG